rnacentral:rRNA from 1 species
UGGGGAAUAUUGCACAAUGGGGGGAAACCCUGAUGCAGCGACGCCGCGUGAGCGAAGAAGUAUUUCGGUAUGUAAAGCUCUAUCAGCAGGGAAGAAGAAAUGACGGUACCUGACUAAGAAGCCCCGGCUAACUACGUGCCAGCAGCCGCGGUAAUACGUAGGGGGCAAGCGUUAUCCGGAUUUACUGGGUGUAAAGGGAGCGCAGGCGGAUGGCUAAGUCUGAUGUGAAAGCCCGGGGCUCAACCCCGGGACUGCAUUGGAAACUGGUUAUCUUGAGUGUCGGAGAGGUAAGUGGAAUUCCUAGUGUAGCGGUGAAAUGCGUAGAUAUUAGGAGGAACACCAGUGGCGAAGGCGGCUUACUGGACGACAACUGACGCUGAGGCUCGAAAGCGUGGGGAG